rnacentral:tRNA from 1 species
GACUCCGUAGCUCAUUUGGAUAGAGCGCCUGGCUUCGAACCAGGAGGUAGUAGGUUCGACUCCUACCGGAGUCACCA